GAUGAAGAACGCAGCGAAAUGCGAUACUUGGCGUGAAUUGCAGAAUCCCGUGAACCAUCGAGUCUUUGAACGCAAGUUGCGCCCGAAGCCAUUAGGCCGAGGGCACGCCUGCCUGGGCGUCACACGUCGUUGCCCCCCCAUCUACUCCUUCGGGAUUGCGGGGGGCGGAUGAUGGCCUCUCGUGCGCCUCGUCGCGCGGUUGGCCUCAAUGCCAAGUCCUCGGCGACGCACGCCACGACAAUCGGUGGUUGCGAAACCUCGGUUGCCUGUCGUGUGCGGUCGUCGCGCAUCGAGGGCUCGAAAAAAUUGCCGGGCUUCGGCUCGACUUUCAACGCGACCCCAGGUCAGGCGGGGUUACCCGCUGAAUUUAAGCAUAUCAAUAAGCGGAGGA
rnacentral:misc_RNA from 1 species